UACGGAAGGGGCUAGCGUUGCUCGGAAUCAGCUGGGCGUAAAGCGCACGUAGGCGGAUUGCUAACGUCAGGGGUGGAAAUCCUGGAGCUCAACUCCAGAACUGCCUUUGAUACUGGCGAUCUUGAGUCCGGGAGAGGUGAGUGGAACUGCGAGUGUAGAGGUGAAAUUCGAUAGGAUAUUCGCGAAGAACACCAGUCGGCGAAGGCGGCUCACUGGCCCGGUACUGAACGCGUGACAGGUGGCGAAAGCGAUCGGGGAGCAAACAGGGAUUAAGAUACCCGUGUAC
rnacentral:rRNA from 1 species